rnacentral:rRNA from 1 species
CCUACGGGCGGCAGCAGUGAGGAAUAUUGGUCAAUGGACGAGAGGCUGAACCAGCCAAGUCGCGUGAAGGAAGACUGCCCUACGGGUUGUAAACCUCUUUUAUCUGGGAGUAAAACGAUCCACGUGUGGGUUAUUGUGAGUACCCGAAGAAUAAGCAUCGGCUAACUCCGUGCCAGCAGCCGCGGUAAUACGGAGGAUGCGAGCGUUAUCCGGAUUUAUUGGGUUUAAAGGGUGCGCAGGCGGGGGAGUAAGUCAGGGGUUAAAUUCGCGGGCUGAACCCCGGAAUGGCAUAUGAGACUGCUCGACUUGAGUGUGCGAGAGGGAGGUGGAAUGCGAGGUGUAGCAGUGAAAUGCGUAGAUAUGAGGCAGAACUCCGAUGGCGAAGGCAGCAUCCCGGGGCAUAACUGACGCUCAGGCACGAAAGCGUGGGUAGCGAACAGGAUUAGAUACCCGUGUAGUC